rnacentral:rRNA from 1 species
GACGAACGCUGGCGGCGUGCCUAAUACAUGCAAGUAGAACGCACAGGAUGCACCGUAGUUUACUACACCGUAUUCUGUGAGUUGCGAACGGGUGAGUAACGCGUAGGUAACCUGCCUGGUAGCGGGGGAUAACUAUUGGAAACGAUAGCUAAUACCGCAUAAGAACAUUUACUGCAUGGUAGAUGUUUAAAAGGUGCAAAUGCAUCACUACCAGAUGGACCUGCGUUGUAUUAGCUAGUAGGUGAGGUAACGGCUCACCUAGGCGACGAUACAUAGCCGACCUGAGAGGGUGAUCGGCCACACUGGGACUGAGACACGGCCCAGACUCCUACGGGAGGCAGCAGUAGGGAAUCUUCGGCAAUGGGGGGAACCCUGACCGAGCAACGCCGCGUGAGUGAAGAAGGUUUUCGGAUCGUAAAGCUCUGUUGUUAAGGAAGAACGAGUGUGAGAAUGGAAAGUUCAUACUGAGACG